GAGUUUGAUCUUGGCUCAGGAUGAACGCUGGCGGCGUGCCUAAUACAUGCAAGUCGAGCGAACGGACGAGAAGCUUGCUUCUCUGAUGUUAGCGGCGGACGGGUGAGUAACACGUGGAUAACCUACCUAUAAGACUGGGAUAACUUCGGGAAACCGGAGCUAAUACCGGAUGAUAUUUUGAACCGCAUGGUUCAAAAGUGAAAGACGGUCUUGCUGUCACUUAUAGAUGGAUCCGCGCUGCAUUAGCUAGUUGGUAAGGUAACGGCUUACCAAGGCAACGAUGCAUAGCCGACCUGAGAGGGUGAUCGGCCACACUGGAACUGAGACACGGUCCAGACUCCUACGGGAGGCAGCAGUAGGGAAUCUUCCGCAAUGGGCGAAAGCCUGACGGAGCAACGCCGCCGUGAGUGAUGAAGGUCUUCGGAUCGUAAAACUCUGUUAUUAGGGAAGAACAUAUGUGUAAGUAACUGUAGCACAUCUUGACGGUACCUAAUCAGAAAG
rnacentral:rRNA from 1 species